GUAAUCCCAGCUACUCGGGAGGCCUUUUCUUGAUUAAAAAAGUCAUCACAUCUGGGUGCAGUGGCUCACGCCUAUAAUCCCAGCACUUUGGGAGGCCAAGGCGGAACUCUGUCUAAAAAGAAAAAAAAAGUCAUCAUAGAGAUAAAAACCUAUACAGAGAGAAAUUACUGAUUGUUCGGCUUCUGCUAUGUUCAGAGAAGCCCAAAACACAUUUUGGGUGGAGGGGUUGCCACACACUUUUAAACAAACAGAUUCCAAAAGAGAACUCACUAUCUUUUUUUUUUUCUCCUGAAGCUCUUUGACUUUAUGAGGUUA
rnacentral:lncRNA from 1 species